rnacentral:rRNA from 1 species
CCAGACUCCUACGGGAGGCAGCAGUGGGGGAUAUUGCACAAUGGGGGAAACCCUGAUGCAGCGACGCCGCGUGGGUGAAGAAGCGCCUCGGCGCGUAAAGCCCUGUCAGCAGGGAAGAAAAUGACGGUACCUGAAGAAGAAGCCCCGGCUAACUACGUGCCAGCAGCCGCGGUAAUACGGAGGAUGCGAGCGUUAUCCGGAUUUAUUGGGUUUAAAGGGUGCGUAGGCGGACGCUUAAGUCAGCGGUAAAAUGGCGGGGCUCAACCUCGUCGAGCCGUUGAAACUGGGUGCCUUGAGUGGGCGAGAAGUACGCGGAAUGCGUGGUGUAGCGGUGAAAUGCAUAGAUAUCACGCAGAACUCCGAUUGCGAAGGCAGCGUACCGGCGCCCAACUGACGCUGAAGCACGAAGGCGUGGGUAUCGAACAGGAUUAGAUACCCCUGUAA